UCAGGUGUGGUGUACGGAACACCGCGCGCCUUCUUCACUGCGGAAAGUUGGGUGACAGCGCGCAGUCCGGGGUUCGACUCCCCGCGCCCGAA